CAGUAGUACUGGCCCUGGGUGAAAGCACGAGAACUGGCCCGAUCCCUGCUGUCUGCUACAUUGGGUGAGAUGGCUGGGGCAGUGCAAGAGAACUCACCCGAGUGGUGAUGAUGAAAAACUGGUGGGCUGACCAACCAAGCUACCACUGAGGCCCAGAACCAGGCCUAUGGCGUAUCCAACCCCAAUAUCCACCUCAUCUAUGAACACAAGCAACUUUCAUCAUCCAUUGAAGAGGCAAAGGGGACAUCCAGGACACCAUUUAUAACUACUGCAGGGCCAUAGAAUUCCUAAGGAACUCAGGUCUCAAACAACAAAGAAAAGAAACAGAAAAAAGAACUCCACAGUUUCAACACAAGGAUAGAGAGUCAUUAUAUAUCUGUGGGAGUGGCUAGACUCACAAUGUGAGGUCCUUUCCUGAUGGCUUCUAAAGUGGGAGAGAGAGAAGAUAUUUAACCAUUAUUCAAUUUUAAGGUUAAAACAGUAGUAGAUCUGUCUCUCUUUUAAGGUUGUAAAAGUGUGCUGGCUAUACUUUUUAUAUCAACUUGAUGCA